rnacentral:pre_miRNA from 1 species
CAAGUACUCCCUCCGUCCGGAAUUACUUGUCAUCAAAAUGGAUGUGUCUAGAACUAAAAUACAUCUAGAUACAUCCAUUUCAAUGACAAGUAUUUUCGGACGGAGGGAGUACAGG